rfam:Salmo salar isolate Sally breed double haploid chromosome ssa10, whole genome shotgun sequence.
AUUGCACCAAUUUGUAAGUCGCUCUGGAUAAGAGCGUCUGCUAAAUGACAUAAA